GAGGAAUUACUUUUGGAGCAACCUGCAGAAUACGCUGAGCACUGUUAAGAGCAUGGAGCAGAAGAGAGAAAAAUCGAGGCAUUUAAACAUCUCUGGGAAAAUUCACUUAGGAAUCUCCCCAAGCAAGUUACCACCUCAUCCUCUGAAGCUUAAGCAGCUCCUGCAAGAAGAAGCAAAGGACCUGCCAGGGGCAGAAGUGGGCCCUGAGGAGGAAGAGCCUACAAACAUCACUCGCUGGCACCCAAAGCCAAGGAUUCAGAAGCAAUGUGGAUAACAAUUUUGGCAGCAAGAGCAAGUGAAGGUGCUCCUCCCAUUUCCCGACUGCCUCACUUCUUGGGUGGCCAUUUCCCUGGGGCAGAAAGGGAGCGUGAAGCACUGCAAGAUCAGCUGGGAGAGCAACGGUCAGGUGCAGGACAGGAGGAAAGGGCAAGAAGGGGUAGGAAAUCGCGAUCCUAUCCCCACCGCCCACUCAGCUUCAUGCCAGCUUCCUUCCCCACUCUCUCUGGCUCCCAUCACAGCCCCUCAAGGCUCAGUACCCUUCUCCAGCCCUCUGUGCAGGCUGGGGCACGGGCCCAAGUCACAGGUUCAGGCCCAUGGGGCGCCUGCACGUGCUCCUUUGUGCAGAGCAGCGGCGAGGGGAGGGGAAGGUCAGCACCAGCUUUUCCCAGGCUUUGCACUGUGCUUCUCCUCUCAGGGAGCUCUGCAGGGAGGAGGAGAGGAGAGCUCCCUUCCAAACAAACAUGA
rnacentral:lncRNA from 1 species